CACGUUGGAAUAAUUCGUUGCCGUAUUUGGGAGAAAAAUUUAGAUCGGUGGGCUCCAUUGUUCUUAUAUCACUAAUUAUAGAAUACUAGUAUUAUUGUUGCACACGAAUUCCAACAGUUGGAUUUGCGAUUUAUUCGUUAAGUGUAACCGGAGUGUCGGUAAAUUAAGAAAAGUCCGUCUAAGUUUUUUCAUGUUAUUGUUUUAAUAUGUGUUUACCUCGUUUUGUUUUAAUAUGUGUAAUACCCCUUGCUGAGUUU
rnacentral:lncRNA from 1 species